AAAUAACCAUGAUUCCCUCAGUAACGGCGAGUGAAGCGGGAAAAGCUCAAAUUUGAAAUCUGGCAACAUUUCUUUUGUUGUCCGAGUUGUAAUUUCAAGAAGCUGCUUUGAGUGUAGACGAUCGGUCUAAGUUCCUUGGAACAGGACGUCAGAGAGGGUGAGAACCCCGUCUUUGGUCGAUUGGAUAUGCCAUAUAAAGCGCUUUCGAAGAGUCGAGUUGUUUGGGAAUGCAGCUCUAAAUGGGUGGUAAAUUUCAUCUAAAGCUAAAUAUUGGCGAGAGACCGAUAGCGAACAAGUAGAGUGAUCGAAAGAUGAAAAGAACUUUGAAAAGAGAGUUAAAUAGUACGUGAAAUUGCUGAAAGGGAAGCAUUGGAAAUCAGUCUUACCUGGGUGAGAUCAGUAGUCUCUUCGCGAGACUAUGCACUCUGAACCUGUGGUAGGUCAGCAUCAGUUUUCGGGGGCGGAAAAAGAAUAAGGGAAGGUGGCUUUCCGGGUUCUGCCUGGGGAGUGUUUAUAGCCCUUGUUGUAAUACGUCCACUGGGGACUGAGGACUGCGGCUUCGUGCCAAGGAUGCUGA
rnacentral:rRNA from 1 species